AGAGUUUGAUCAUGGCUCAGAUUGAACGCUGGCGGCAGGCCUAACACAUGCAAGUCGGACGGUAACAGGAAUCAGCUUGCUGAUUCGCUGACGAGUGGCGGACGGGUGAGUAAUGUCUGGGAAACUGCCUGAUGGAGAGGGAUAACUACUGGAAACGGUAGCUAAUACCGCAUAACGUCGCAAGACCAAAGAGGGGGACCUUCGGGCCUCUUGCCAUCGGAUGUGCCCAGAUGGGAUUAGCUAGUAGGUGGGGUAACGGCUCACCUAGGCGACGAUCCCUAGCUGGUCUGAGAGGAUGACCAGCCACACUGGAACUGAGACACGGUCCAGACUCCUACGGGAGGCAGCAGUGGGGAAUAUUGCACAAUGGGCGCAAGCCUGAUGCAGCCAUGCCGCGUGUAUGAAGAAGGCCUUCGGGUUGUAAAGUACUUUCAGCGGGGAGGAAGGGAGUAAAGUUAAUACCUUUGCUCAUUGACGUUACCCGCAGAAGAAGCACCGGCUAACUCCGUGCCAGCAGCCGCGGUAAUACA
rnacentral:rRNA from 1 species